GAUGAACGCUGGCGGCGUGCCUAAUACAUGCAAGUCGAGCGAACAGACGAGGAGCUUGCUCCUCUGACGUUAGCGGCGGACGGGUGAGUAACACGUGGAUAACCUACCUAUAAGACUGGGAUAACUUCGGGAAACCGGAGCUAAUACCGGAUAAUAUAUUGAACCGCAUGGUUCAAUAGUGAAAGACGGUUUUGCUGUCACUUAUGGAUGGAUCCGCGCCGCAUUAGCUAGUUGGUAAGGUAACGGCUUACCAAGGCAACGAUGCGUAGCCGACCUGAGAGGGUGAUAGGCCACACUGGAACUGAGACACGGUCCAGACUCCUACGGGAGGCAGCAGUAGGGAAUCUUCCGCAAUGGGCGAAAGCCUGACGGAGCAACGCCGCGUGAGUGAUGAAGGUCUUCGGAUCGUAAAACUCUGUUAUUAGGGAAGAACAAAUGUGUAAGUAACUAUGCACGUCUUGACGGUACCUAAUCAGAAAGCCACGGCUAACUACGUG
rnacentral:rRNA from 1 species